CUGGCGGUGGCACCCGUGGGGACCUUGGGGGUGGCACUGGGAGUGAGUGACACUCAUGGGGACCUUGGGGACAUGAGGGUGGCACCAGGGAGGGGCACUGACACCCCUGGGGGUGGCACCAAGGGUGGCAGCGGAGGUGGCACUGACACCUCUGGAGGUGGCACUGAGGAUGGCACUGGGGGGUGACACUGGGCAGGGGGUGGCACCAACACCCUUGGGGGUGGCACCGAGGGUGGCACCGGGCAGAGAGGUGGCACUGACAUCCCUGGGGGUGGCACUGGGCAGGGGGUGGCACCAACACCCUUGGGGGUGGCACCGAGGGUGGCACCGGGCAGGGGCGUGGCACUGACACCCCUGGGGGUGGCACUGGGCAGGGAGGGACACUGGGGGUGGCACCAAGGGACGCCCGCAGCACUCAGGUGACAUUAAGGGACACAGGACACCUGUGGGGGUGGCACCAGGGGACACCGAGGGGCACAGGUGGCACUAAGGGAAGGCAGUGCCACCCUGGUGACACCCUGCGGGCAGUGCCAGCGCCGUUUAUUGGGGCGGGGACAGCCGGGGUGGCACGUGUCCCCAAACACGUCACACACACGUCGCACACCUGUCACAUGCGUCACACACGUGUCCCCAGCAGCACAGGACACGGGAGUGGCCACGUGGCCGCGGUGGCAUCAGGCGAGGGCACGUGUCCCUUGUGCCACCACCAUGGGCACUGCUGUGGCCACGUGGCCAUCAACGGUCACAGCGAGUGACACUGGCUGUUGUCACUGUCACCAACACGGCCACAGCAAGUGACACUGGCUGUUGUCACUGUCACCAACACGGCCACAGCGAGUGACAGCGGCUGUUGUCCCCUCUGUCACCAACACGGCCACAGCAAGUGACACUGGCUGUUGUCACUGUCACCAACACGGCCACAGCGAGUGACAGCGGCUGCUGUCCCCUCUGUCACUAACACGGCCACAGUGAGUGACAGCGGCUGUUGUCAUUGUCACCAACACGGCCACAGCGAGUGACACUGGCUGUUGUCACUGUCACCAACACGGCCACAGAGAUGCCAUCAAAGGCUGCCAUGUAUCCCCUCUGUCACCAACACAGUCACAGCAAGUGACACCAGCUGCUGCCGCUGUCCCCUCUGUCACCAACGCUGUCACAGCGAUGCCAUCAGCCGUUGUCACUCGUCCCCUCUGUCACCAACACAGCCA